UCAAUACAGAUUGAGUUAUGUUGUAAGGUGUAGCGUCGAUUUUACACAGUUUCUGUCGUACGCUUGUCAAGUGUGACACAUAACGCCACGCGCUGAAUUUCUAUUACAUUUCUACCGUCUGAUCUUUGUUCGCUUGGUCGUCUGCGUUAUAGCUAUGUUUUCUGUAUAGAAGCACGGAACCCUCCAUCAAAAUACGCUCAGGCAGCUGCAGCAGCCGAUUCUGCUGCUGUAGCCGAUUCUGUGGGGAAUUACCUCGCAUAACAUUAGGGUGCGUGUGUACUACAAGCGCCUAGACAGAAGCGAGUCGUAAUUGGACAGAUAAGAAACAUCACCGCCUUGGCCUGCAUCUAAGUGUUACAUCGUUAAAACGAAGGUUGAGUGGUCAUCAGAGAAUGCCUCACACAAGACCAAAGAAAGUGCUGCACGAACAAAUUUACUUCAAGAUACACUUCUUCAUGAAUAACAAGGACAAAGAUGGAUCGGCCUAGCUGACAAACAUUUCGAGAAUGUACCGUCAGGCGGGGAACUGGAAGUGUUUACAAAAAAGACGGACGUAAUAUCCGCUUUUAGGAAAUGUACAAUAGCAUUUCAGCAGUGGUCCCAUACGAUUAAUUAGAUUUGAAGCAAUAUUAGCGAUGGCGGAGAACACACUCUUAUGAAACUGACUGACGAAGAAGCAACAAUUUGGUUAUCAAGUUAAGAUAUGCUGACCCCACAUUGCGCCAGCUGAGCGUCAAAGUAGCGUUGUCAAAGCGAGUUCCUCCGAAGUAAAAGCGUUCAGUGUCUCAAUCUAGACUUAUCCACUGGAUUCGUAUGUAAAAAUUGAAUGUAGCCAAGCGUUGCUGGAAUACGGCGGACCUUAACAAUGUCUUGCUGCUAUUCCCUUAUCAGUUUUCAGGAAAAUAUACUACGUAGCGUUUACCUUGUGAUUCAGCACUGAUCCGUCUUGUAGCCGGAAAGCGCUGCUAAUAAAUAAAAGCUACA